rnacentral:rRNA from 1 species
GAUGAACGCUAGCUACAGGCUUAACACAUGCAAGUCGAGGGACCGGCGCACGGGUGUGUAACACGUAUCCGACCUUCCCUUUUCUCGGGGAUAGCCUUUCGAAAGAAAGGUUAAUACCCGAUAUAAUGGAUGGGGAUGCGUUCCAUUAGGUUUUUGGUGAUGUAACGGCUCACCAAGACUUCGAGGGAUAGGGGUUCUGAGAGGAAGGUCCCCCACAUUGGAACUGAGACACGGUCCAAACUCCUACGGGAGGCAGCAGUGAGGAAUAUUGGUCAAUGGGCGCUAGCCUGAACCAGCCAAGUAGCGUGAAGGAUGAAGGCUUAUGGGUCGUAAACUUCUUUUAUAGAAGAAUAUGUAUUAUAUGAAUAAGGAUCGGCUAACUCCGUGCCAGCAGCCGCGGUAAUAC